rnacentral:rRNA from 1 species
AACGCGAAGAACCUUACCAGCCUUUGACAUGGGAACUAUGGGUCUGAGAGAUCAGAUCCUUCACUUCGGGUGGGUUCCACACAGGUGCUGCAUGGCUGUCGUCAGCUCGUGUCGUGAGAUGUUGGGUUAAGUCCCGCAACGAGCGCAACCCUCAUCUUCAGUUGCCCCCGGGUCAGGCCGGGCACUCUGAAGAAACCGCCGGUGACAAGCCGGAGGAAGGCGGGGAUGACGUCAAGUCCUCAUGGCCCUUACAGGCUGGGCUACACACGUACUACAAUGGUGGUGACAGAGGGCAGCGAAGGCGCGAGCCGGAGCCAAUCCUCAAAAGCCAUCUCAGUUCGGAUUGCACUCUGCAACUCGGGUGCAUGAAGUUGGAAUCGCUAGUAAUCGCAGAUCAGCACGCUGCGGUGAAUACGUUCCCGGGCCUUGUACACACCGCGUGUCU